rnacentral:rRNA from 1 species
GCAGCAGCCGCGGUAAUACGGAGGGUGCAAGCGUUACUCGGAAUCACUGGGCGUAAAGGACGCGUAGGCGGAUUAUCAAGUCUCUUGUGAAAUCUAACGGCUUAACCGUUAAACUGCUUGGGAAACUGAUAAUCUAGAGUAAGGGAGAGGCAGAUGGAAUUCUUGGUGUAGGGGUAAAAUCCGUAGAUAUCAAGAAGAAUACCUAUUGCGAAGGCGAUCUGCUGGAACUUAACUGACGCUAAUGCGUGAAAGCGUGGGGAGCAAACAGGAUUAGAUACCCCCGUAGUCCCUGUCUCUUAUAC